rnacentral:rRNA from 1 species
AUUGAACGCUGGCGGCAGGCCUAACCCAUGCAAGUCGAACGAGUGGCGGACGGGUGAGUAAUGUAUGGGAAACUGCCCGAUGGAGGGGGAUAACUACUGGAAACGGUAGCUAAUACCGCAUACCAUCGGAUGUGCCCAGAUGGGAUUAGCUAGUAGGUGGGGUAACGGCUCACCUAGGCGACGAACACUAGCUGGUCUCAGAGGAUGACCAGCCAACCUGGAACUGAGACACGGUCCAGCCUCCUACGGGAGGCAGCAGUGGGGAAUAUUGCACAAUGGGCGCAAGCCUGAUGCAGCCAUGCCGCGUGUAUGAAGAAGGCCUUCGGGUUGUAAAGUACUUUCAGCGAGGAGGCGUGACUCGCAGAAGAAGCACCGGCUAACUCCGUGCCAGCAGCCGCGGUAAUAC